GGCAGUCAGAGGCGAUGAAGGACGUGCUAAUCUGCGAUAAGCGUCGGUAAGGUGAUAUGAACCGUUAUAACCGGCGAUUUCCGAAUGGGGAAACCCAGUGUGAUUCGUCACACUAUCAUUAACUGAAUCCAUAGGUUAAUGAGGCGAACCGGGGGAACUGAAACAUCUAAGUACCCCGAGGAAAAGAAAUCAACCGAGAUUCCCCCAGUAGCGGCGAGCGAACGGGGAGCAGCCCAGAGCCUGAAUCAGUGUGUGUGUUAGUGGAAGCGUCUGGAAAGGCGCGCGAUACAGGGUGACAGCCCCGUACACAAAAAUGCACAUGCUGUGAGCUCGAUGAGUAGGGCGGGACACGUGGUAUCCUGUCUGAAUAUGGGGGGACCAUCCUCCAAGGCUAAAUACUCCUGACUGACCGAUAGUGAACCAGUACCGUGAGGGAAAGGCGAAAAGAACCCCGGCGAGGGGAGUGAAAAAGAACCUGAAACCGUGUACGUACAAGCAGUGGGAGCCUCUUUAUGGGGUGACUGCGUACCUUUUGUAUAAUGGGUCAGCGACUUAUAUUCUGUAGCAAGGUUAACCGAAUAGGGGAGCCGAAGGGAAACCGAGUCUUAACUGGGCGUUAAGUUGCAGGGUAUAGACCCGAAACCCGGUGAUCUAGCCAUGGGCAGGUUGAAGGUUGGGUAACACUAACUGGAGGACCGAACCGACUAAUGUUGAAAAAUUAGCGGAUGACUUGUGGCUGGGGGUGAAAGGCCAAUCAAACCGGGAGAUAGCUGGUUCUCCCCGAAAGCUAUUUAGGUAGCGCCUCGUGAACUCAUCUCCGGGGGUAGAGCACUGUUUCGGCAAGGGGGUCAUCCCGACUUACCAACCCGAUGCAAACUGCGAAUACCGGAGAAUGUUAUCACGGGAGACACACGGCGGGUGCUAACGUCCGUCGUGAAGAGGGAAACAACCCAGACCGCCAGCUAAGGUCCCAAAGUCAUGGUUAAGUGGGAAACGAUGUGGGAAGGCCCAGACAGCCAGGAUGUUGGCUUAGAAGCAGCCAUCAUUUAAAGAAAGCGUAAUAGCUCACUGGUCGAGUCGGCCUGCGCGGAAGAUGUAACGGGGCUAAACCAUGCACCGAAGCUGCGGCAGCGACGCUGAUGCGUUGUUGGGUAGGGGAGCGUUCUGUAAGCCUGUGAAGGUGUGCUGUGAGGCAUGCUGGAGGUAUCAGAAGUGCGAAUGCUGACAUAAGUAACGAUAAAGCGGGUGAAAAGCCCGCUCGCCGGAAGACCAAGGGUUCCUGUCCAACGUUAAUCGGGGCAGGGUGAGUCGACCCCUAAGGCGAGGCCGAAAGGCGUAGUCGAUGGGAAACAGGUUAAUAUUCCUGUACUUGGUGUUACUGCGAAGGGGGGACGGAGAAGGCUAUGUUGGCCGGGCGACGGUUGUCCCGGUUUAAGCGUGUAGGCUGGUUUUCCAGGCAAAUCCGGAAAAUCAAGGCUGAGGCGUGAUGACGAGGCACUACGGUGCUGAAGCAACAAAUGCCCUGCUUCCAGGAAAAGCCUCUAAGCAUCAGGUAACAUCAAAUCGUACCCCAAACCGACACAGGUGGUCAGGUAGAGAAUACCAAGGCGCUUGAGAGAACUCGGGUGAAGGAACUAGGCAAAAUGGUGCCGUAACUUCGGGAGAAGGCACGCUGAUAUGUAGGUGAAGUCCCUCGCGGAUGGAGCUGAAAUCAGUCGAAGAUACCAGCUGGCUGCAACUGUUUAUUAAAAACACAGCACUGUGCAAACACGAAAGUGGACGUAUACGGUGUGACGCCUGCCCGGUGCCGGAAGGUUAAUUGAUGGGGUCAGCGCAAGCGAAGCUCUUGAUCGAAGCCCCGGUAAACGGCGGCCGUAACUAUAACGGUCCUAAGGUAGCGAAAUUCCUUGUCGGGUAAGUUCCGACCUGCACGAAUGGCGUAAUGAUGGCCAGGCUGUCUCCACCCGAGACUCAGUGAAAUUGAACUCGCUGUGAAGAUGCAGUGUACCCGCGGCAAGACGGAAAGACCCCGUGAACCUUUACUAUAGCUUGACACUGAACAUUGAGCCUUGAUGUGUAGGAUAGGUGGGAGGCUUAGAAGUGUGGACGCCAGUCUGCAUGGAGCCGACCUUGAAAUACCACCCUUUAAUGUUUGAUGUUCUAACGUUGACCCGUAAUCCGGGUUGCGGACAGUGUCUGGUGGGUAGUUUGACUGGGGCGGUCUCCUCCUAAAGAGUAACGGAGGAGCACGAAGGUUGGCUAAUCCUGGUCGGACAUCAGGAGGUUAGUGCAAUGGCAUAAGCCAGCUUGACUGCGAGCGUGACGGCGCGAGCAGGUGCGAAAGCAGGUCAUAGUGAUCCGGUGGUUCUGAAUGGAAGGGCCAUCGCUCAACGGAUAAAAGGUACUCCGGGGAUAACAGGCUGAUACCGCCCAAGAGUUCAUAUCGACGGCGGUGUUUGGCACCUCGAUGUCGGCUCAUCACAUCCUGGGGCUGAAGUAGGUCCCAAGGGUAUGGCUGUUCGCCAUUUAAAGUGGUACGCGAGCUGGGUUUAGAACGUCGUGAGACAGUUCGGUCCCUAUCUGCCGUGGGCGCUGGAGAACUGAGGGGGGCUGCUCCUAGUACGAGAGGACCGGAGUGGACGCAUCACUGGUGUUCGGGUUGUCAUGCCAAUGGCACUGCCCGGUAGCUAAAUGCGGAAGAGAUAAGUGCUGAAAGCAUCUAAGCACGAAACUUGCCCCGAGAUGAGUUCUCCCUGACUCCUUGAGAGUCCUGAAGGAACGUUGAAGACGACGACGUUGAUAGGCCGGGUGUGUAAGCGCAGCGAUGCGUUGAGCUGACCGGUACUAAUGAACCGUGAGGCUUAACCU
rnacentral:rRNA from 1 species